CGCUAAGCUGCCAUAGGAGCUGCUGCUACUGCUAAUGAUGGUACUUCUGACCUUUUAGAAUAGUCCAUGACCUGUACAGUUGUUCCAUAAGCACCAGUAGUGCAAUUUGAUGAUUUAAGACCAUGGAGGAAAGCUUGAUAGAUAAGUUAGCUCGUUGUCGCAGUUGUUGUCCAUGGCCAUAAGGCCCACCAAUGCAAAAUGAUAAUCUUGAAG
rnacentral:misc_RNA from 1 species